AGAGUUUGAUUAUGGCUCAGGACGAACGCUGGCGGCGUGCCUAACACAUGUAAGUCGCACGGGACUGGAGGGCAACUUCCAGUUCAGUGGCAGACGGGUGCGUAACACGUGAGGAACCUGUCCGACGGUGGGGGAUAGCCGGCCCAACGGCCGGGUAAUACCGCAUACGUUCAUUUGGGGGCAUCCCUGAAUGAGGAAAGCAGCCGCAAGGUUGCGCCGAUGGAGGGUCUCGCGGCCUAUCAGCUAGUUGGCGGGGUAAUGGCCCACCAAGGCGACGACGGGUAGCUGGUCUGAGAGGAUGGCCAGCCACAUUGGGACUGAGACACGGCCCAGACUCCUACGGGAGGCAGCAGUGGGGAAUCUUGCGCAAUGGCCGCAAGGCUGACGCAGCGACGCCGCGUGUGGGAUGACGGCCUUCGGGUUGUAAACCACUGUCGGGAGGAACGAAUACUCGGCUUCGAAUAGGAGCCCGAGGGUGACGGUACCUCCAAAGGAAGCACCGGCUAACUCCGUGCCAGCCGCCGCGGUAA
rnacentral:rRNA from 1 species